rnacentral:rRNA from 1 species
CCUACGGGUGGCAGCAGUGGGGAAUAUUGGGCAAUGGAGGAAACUCUGACCCAGCAAUGCCGCGUGAAUGAAGAAGGUCUUCGGAGUGUUAAGUUCUUUAGUUAGGGAAGAAUAAAAUGAUGGUACCUGAUGUAUAAGCUCCGGCUAACUACGUGCCAGCAGCCGCGGUAAUACGUAGGGUGCAAGCGUUAUCCGGAUUUAUGGGGUUUACAGGGUGCGCAGGCGGAAGAGAAAGUCAGCGGUAAAAUUGAGAGGCUCAACCUCUUCGAGCCGUUGAAACUGGUUUUCUAGAGUGUGUGAGAAGUAUGCGGAAUGCGUGGUGUAGCGGUGAAAUGCAUAGAUAUCACGCAGAACUCCGAUUGCGAAGGCAGCAUACCGGCGCUCAACUGACGCUCAUGCACGAAAGUGUGGGUAUCGAACAGGAUUAGAUACCCCAGUAGUC